GAGUUGAAGAGAAGCUUGCUUCUCUGAUACUUAGCGGCGGACGGGUGAGUAACACGUAGGCAACCUGCCUGUAAGACUGGGAUAACUACCGGAAACGGUAGCUAAUACCGGAUAAUUGAUUUCCCUGCAUGGGGAGAUGAUGAAAGAUGGAGCAAUCUAUCACUUACAGAUGGGCCUGCGGCGCAUUAGCUAGUUGGUGGGGUAAUGGCUCACCAAGGCGACGAUGCGUAGCCGACCUGAGAGGGUGAACGGCCACACUGGGACUGAGACACGGCCCAGACUCCUACGGGAGGCAGCAGUAGGGAAUCUUCCGCAAUGGACGAAAGUCUGACGGAGCAACGCCGCGUGAGUGAUGAAGGUUUUCGGAUCGUAAAGCUCUGUUGCCAGGGAAGAACGUCCGGUAGAGUAACUGCUAUCGGAGUGACGGUACCUGAGAAGAAAGCCCCGGCUAACUACGUGCCAGCAGCCGCGGUAAUACGUAGGGGGCAAGCGUUGUCCGGAAUUAUUGGGCGUAAAGCGCGCGCAGGCGGCUGUUUAAGUCUGGUGUUUAAUCCUGGGGCUCAACCCCGGGUCGCACUGGAAACUGGACAGCUUGAGUACAGAAGAGGAGAGUGGAAUUCCACGUGUAGCGGUGAAAUGCGUAGAUAUGUGGAGGAACACCAGUGGCGAAGGCGACUCUCUGGGCUGUAACUGACGCUGAGGCGCGAAAGCGUGGGGAGCACACAGGAUUAGAUACCCUGGUAGUCCACGCCGUAAACGAUGAGUGCUAGGUGUUAAGUGUUUCGAUACCCUUGGUGCCAAGUUAACACAUUAAGCACUCCGCCUGGGGAGUACGGUCGCAAGAC
rnacentral:rRNA from 1 species